CUCCUAGUGACCUCAGUGUAGUGCCACGUGCCUGGGCCACUGGUUUAUACUGAUGGGGAUGAGGAACUAAGGAG